rnacentral:tRNA from 1 species
GCCUCCUUAGCUCAGUUGGUAGAGCAUUCGUUUCGUAAACGAAAGGUCGAGAGUUCGAAAGGGACGAAGCUGACCGAUGUCAGCUUCCAGCCGAUUUUCUCUCAGGGGGCU